GCUGGGCACAGUGGUGCAUGCCUGUAAUCCCAGGGGCCUGGGAGGCUGAGGCAGGAGGAUUUUGAGUUCAAAGCCAGCCUAGGCAAUGGUGAGGCACUACGCAGCUCAGUGAGAUUCUGUUUCUA
rnacentral:sRNA from 1 species